CUUGGCCACACACUCAGUUACCUAUUCUGCCACAUCCCAGGGAAAGGAGAGAGCAGAACCACCUCUCCUUAAAUCCAUAGUAAAUGACAUUAGUGUCAUGAAAAGCCAGAAAACUCAGGAGGUUGACGUGUUGUGGGCCGUCUGGAAAUAUGCCCCUGACCACCGUGGUGGAGAAGGACGCAAAAUCUGACCCAUCACACAACUCUUCAAGAGGACCACUACACUCCAGAUCGCCUUCUGUCCUUGAUGAGGAUCUACCCCAUCACACCACUCUUAUUAAUAAUUGAUCAAAUAAAACAAAGGGCCUUUA